rnacentral:rRNA from 1 species
AAUCAACGCUGGCGGCGUGCCUAACACAUGCAAGUCGAACGCGAAAGUGGAGCAAUCCAUGAGUAGAGUGGCAAACGGGUGAGUAACGCGUGGGCGACCUGCCUUCGAGUGGGGGAUAACAUUCCGAAAGGGAUGCUAAUACCGCAUAACAUCCUUCGUUUAGAUACGAGGUGAUCAAAGCCGGGAGCAAUUCUGGCGCUUAAAGAGGGGCCCGCGUCCGAUUAGCUAGNGGUGGGGUAACGGCCUACCAAGGCUCCGAUCGGUAUCCGGCCUGAGAGGGCGGACGGACACACUGGAACUGAGACACGGUCCAGACUCCUACGGGAGGCAGCAGUGGGGAAUUGUUCGCAAUGGGCGCAAGCCUGACGACGCAACGCCGCGUGGAGGAUGAAGACCU